AUUUUUUGUUACUUUAAGUGUCUUAUUUGAUGAAAUUGCUUAUAAGAACCCGUCCAUUAAUUGACCUAUGGAAAGCAGCUUUUCCAUUCGAAAAUAUUAUAUCGAAAGUUAUUCAUAUGAAAUAUAUUCCGCUUAAAAACAAAUUAAAACAACUUCUCAACAGGUUGAUGCUGUUUAUCCAAUGAUGAGAAACACUAAUGUACCCAAAAUCUUUUGUUAGUUGGAAUCGCUUGCACCUAAAAGUAAAAAAAGGAGAUGCAAUAUGAUUGUCGAGGAGAAAAGGCAGGGACAAAGAUGUGAACAAUGACAUUCAACACCUAUUGAUUUCCAUUCAUUAAAAAAAAUAUGAUAUUCAUUGGUAAACAAUUUCCAAAUUCUUGCCUUCUUCGACUUUUGAUGAUUUCACAAUAUAACAGAAUACACCACUAACCUUCAAUAUUGGUUAUAUCAGUAUACAUGCUUCAAUUAUUAAUUUAAUGAUAUACUAGAAUUUGAAAUCAAAGUUUCGAUAACACAUACGUACAUUAAACAAUUGAAUAAUGAAACAUGAAAAAGUAAAAUUACUAGAGAUAUUUAAUAGACCACUAAUUAACAUUUUGGUAUCAUCUAUGCUAUUUGUCUAUGAUUCAAGUGCCACUGAUGAAUCAAAUGUAGACGAAACGUGUGUUUGGUGUACGAAAUGAUAAGCUUGUAAUCGGUGAAAAACUUUUACAUUCAUUGGGUCGAUGCCACUGUAGUGAAUGUUUCGUUCCCGACAGUAUCACCAGCUUAAUAGUUAGCUUUUUUACAUUAACUUUAAAUAUCACUGAUAAGGAGAAGGGAAGAGGGUAUAUUAAUCCUACAAUUAAAGCAUCGAUCCAAAUAAAAUAAUCAUGAGUUCAUUCGGUCUAUAUAUGCUGAUUCAAUUUUGUUUUAUAAAUGACAUUUUUUUUUUAUUGUAUCGGAAUUAAUUAUAGCUGAGAGUGACAUUUUAAUCUUUUGGUGGAGAUACUUUUAAUUCCAUGCAGUUGGUACCCCCACUAGCCUAGUGACUAGGAUAUGUAGUGACUUAUUUAUAAUUUUUGACUGUUACAAUGUUUUCAAAAUUUAUUCAUUUAUCUUGUAACCCCCAUUAUUGGGUAAUAUGUUUAAUAAAUGCUUUACCUUACUUUGAUACCCAUUAUCCUUCCUUCAAUUAUUUGUUUAAUAUUAAUUAUAAUCUAUCAAUAAACAAUAAAACAAUACUGGUUAACAAUAGACCAUAGCAAACCAGCUUGUUUGUUAAUGCAAGUUACAUCAUUUUGUAGAACAGUGACCAGCC
rnacentral:lncRNA from 1 species